CUAACAAUUCCUCUGCGUAACCUCUAACAUUCUUCCGCCCCCGCGCGCCCCACCAUUGCGCGACCUCCGAUAUUCUUCCAUUCCGAUUCCUCUUCUAUAAGAACCCCCUUCAUACGACUUUUCCUUCUGAUCUCUUUUCUCUUUCUUUCCCUAGUCCGUUAAUCGCUAGCAUGCCUGUUACAUUGAGCCUUCGGAGAGUGAUUCAAUAAAGCAAGAAGUCAGUUAAUAAAGAGUCUUCUAAGAUACAUGAAAGUCAAAUAACCAGCUCAAAUGUAAAGACAACAGACAUUCAGAAUCAGAAUUUAGAUUUGUGUAUCAAUACAGACAACAAUGAUUGGGAUUCACUGUAUAGUCUCUUCUAUGUCAAUGAUUUCAAUUCAUCAAAUACAUCAAUGUCCACUGCUACAAAUAAACAAUUCCACAACUAUGGAGAUGAUGAGAAGCGCA
rnacentral:sRNA from 2 species